UGGGGAUGACGUCAAGUCAUCAUGGCCUUACGGCCUGGGCUACACACGUGCUACAAUGGUCGGUACAAAGGGUUGCCAAGCCGCGAGGUGGAGCUAAAUCCCAUAAAACCGAUCGUAGUCCGGAUCGCAGUCUGCAACUCGACUGCGUGAAGUCGGAAUCGCUAGUAAUCGUGAAUCAGAAUGUCACGGUGAAUACGUUCCCGGGCCUU
rnacentral:rRNA from 1 species